UGUACAAUCAAGAAUUCUAAAAUAUAAUGUAGCAUCUUAUCCAUCAUAGGAUUUGGCAUGAUCCAUUGCACCUGAUCCAAGUAGAUAAUUCUGUCCAUCUUGCAGUGAUGGAUGAGAAAUUAUUGCAUGCAUCAGGUGCAAGUGAACCAGAGCAAAUCCUGGAGCAUAGGCACGGUGGAUAACGCACAAUCAAAAAUUGGUGAAAUACAAGGGUAGCGAGGGGGCA
rnacentral:lncRNA from 1 species